UUUCCCACAAAUCCCACCCUCUUCUGCAUGCACUACAGUAGAGGACCAGAGCAGAUAAAAGGAGGACACACAGGACACUCAGGAUAUCAGACACUCAGGAAAUCACACAAGAUUCAAACAUGGCAGGAUUUUUGAUACCAGGACUUCUCAAACUUCUGUUUCCGGCCAAACCAGCAUUUGUCAGAGUUCUGGCUGAUAAAAUUGUUACACGUGGAGGAACAGUUAUUCUUCGAUGUGAGGCAAACACAGAAUAUGUAACGGCAACGUGGGAAAAAGACGGCAGUAAAUUUGAUUGUGUAGCGGGCAGACAUAAGUGAAUACAACAGAUAAAAUAUUUGCUUUGGAAAUUUUAAAUGCUGAUGAGGCUGAUGAAGGGAAAUACACUUUAACCCUCAGCAACAUAUCAGGAUCUGCAUCAUGUUCCGCUUUCAUCAGAGUCGAAAUUAAGAAAUGGAGAGAAGUGCGAUGGCAGAGUCAAGCUGAAAUGUUAAAUAAUAUCAAGACAUUUAACAUUUGUAAUGAAGUUGAAGAGCUCCACUUCCUCUUGUAUGGACCAGUUGGAGCAGGAAAAUCCAGCACCAUAAACACCAUCAAAAGCAUCUUUGAAGGACGUCUGUUUGUAAACUGCCAGGCUGCUGCAGGAUCUACUACGAGUCACACUCU